rnacentral:rRNA from 1 species
AGACCCGAAACCCGGUGAUCUAGCCAUGGGCAGGUUGAAGGUUGGGUAACACUAACUGGAGGACCGAACCGACUAAUGUUGAAAAAUUAGCGGAUGACCUGUGGCUGGGGGUGAAAGGCCAAUCAAACCGGGAGAUAGCUGGUUCUCCCCGAAAGCUAUUUAGGUAGCGCCUCGUGAAUUCAUCUCCGGGGGUAGAGCACUGUUUCGGCUAGGGGGCCAUCCCGGCUUACCAACCCGAUGCAAACUGCGAAUACCGGAGAAUGUUAUCACGGGAGACACACGGCGGGUGCUAACGUCCGUCGUGAAGAGGGAAACAACCCAGACCGCCAGCUAAGGUCCCAAAGUCAUGGUUAAGUGGGAAACGAUGUGGGAAGGCCCAGACAGCCAGGAUGUUGGCUUAGAAGCAGCCAUCAUUUAAAGAAAGCGUAAUAGCUCACUGGUCGAGUCGGCCUGCGCGGAAGAUGUAACGGGGCUAAACCAUGCACCGAAGCUGCGGCAGCGAACGUAUCACUUAAAGCGAUUCAGCGGGUUACGAUUGACGGAGCGAAGCGACGUCAAAGCGUAUACAAAGUCGAGUCGGUUUAAGGAUACGUUCGUUGGGUAGGGGAGCGUUCUGUAAGCCUGUGAAGGUGGCCUGUGAGGGUUGCUGGAGGUAUCAGAAGUGCGAAUGCUGACAUAAGUAACGAUAAAGCGGGUGAAAAGCCCGCUCGCCGGAAGACCAAGGGUUCCUGUCCAACGUUAAUCGGGGCAGGGUGAGUCGACCCCUAAGGCGAGGCCGAAAGGCGUAGUCGAUGGGAAACGGGUUAAUAUUCCCGUACUUGGUGUUACUGCGAAGGGGGGACGGAGAAGGCUAUGUUGGCCGGGCGACGGUUGUCCCGGUUUAAGCGUGUAGGUGUGUGUUCCAGGUAAAUCCGGUUCACUUUAACACUGAGGCGUGACGACGAGGCACUACGGUGCUGAAGCAACAAAUGCCCUGCUUCCAGGAAAAGCCUCUAAGCAUCAGGUAACAUCAAAUCGUACCCCAAACCGACACAGGUGGUCAGGUAGAGAAUACCAAGGCGCUUGAGAGAACUCGGGUGAAGGAACUAGGCAAAAUGGUGCCGUAACUUCGGGAGAAGGCACGCUGACAUGUAGGUGAAGUGAUUUACUCA